rnacentral:rRNA from 1 species
AGUGAACGCUGGCGGUAGGCCUAACACAUGCAAGUCGAACGGCAGCACAGGAGAGCUUGCUCUCUGGGUGGCGAGUGGCGGACGGGUGAGGAAUACAUCGGAAUCUACUCUGUCGUGGGGGAUAACGUAGUGAAACUUACGCUAAUACCGCAUACGACCUACGGGUGAAAGCAGGGGACCUUCGGGCCAUGCGCGGUUGAAUGAGCCGUUGUCGGAUUAGCUAGUUGGCGGGGUAAAGGCCCACCAAGGCGACGUUCCGUAGCUGGUCUGAGAGGAUGAUCAGCCACACGGGAACUGAGACACUGUCCAGACUCCUACGGGAGGCAGCAGUGGGGAAUAUGGGACAAUGGGCGCAAGCCUGAUCCAGCCAUACCGCGUGGGUGAAGAAGGCCUUCGGGUUGUAAAGCCCUUUUGUUGGGAAAGAAAUCCAGCUGGCUAAUACCCGGUUGGGAUGACGGUACCCAAAGAAUAAGCACCGGCUAACUUCGUGCCAGCAGCCGCCGCGG